rnacentral:rRNA from 1 species
CUACGGGUUGCAGCAGUGGGGAAUAUUGCACAAUGGGCGCAAGCCUGAUGCAGCCAUGCCGCGUGUAUGAAGAAGGCCUUCGGGUUGUAAAGUACUUUCAGCGGGGAGGAAGGGAGUAAAGUUAAUACCUUUGCUCAUUGACGUUACCCGCAGAAGAAGCACCGGCUGAACUCCGUGCCAGCAGCCGCGGUAAUACGGAGGGUGCAAGCGUUAAUCGGAAUUACUGGGCGUAAAGCGCACGCAGGCGGUUUGUUAAGUCAGAUGUGAAAUCCCCGGGCUCAACCUGGGAACUGCAUCUGAUACUGGCAAGCUUGAGUGUCGUAGAGGGGGGUAGAAUUCCAGGUGUAGCGGUGAAAUGCGUAGAGAUCUGGAGGAAUACCGGUGGCGAAGGCGGCCCCCUGGACGAAGACUGACGCUCAGGUGCGAAAGCGUGGGGAGCAAACAGGAUUAGAUACCCCUGUAGUC